rnacentral:rRNA from 1 species
UUGAAUGCGUCGACGACGGUAAGACCAGCGAAAGUUGGAUUAAUACCGCAUGUGGCGGGGAUGGGAUUCCAUUCUUUGCUAAAGGUAGGGACCUUCGGGCCUGCCGCUUCGAGAUUGGCUCGCGGCCUAUCAGUUUGUUGGUGGGGUAAUGGCCUACCAAGACAACGACGGGUAGCCGGUCUGAGAGGAUGUCCGGCCACACUGGAACUGAGACACGGUCCAGACACCUACGGGUGGCAGCAGUCGAGAAUCAUGCACAAUGGGCGAAAGCCUGAUGCUGCAACGCCGCGUGGAGGAUGAAGGCCCUAGGGUCGUAAACUCCUGUCACCAAUGAGUAUGGGCAUUAUGUUUAAUAGAUGUAGUAUUUGAUAGUAAUUGGAGAGGAAGGGACGGCUAACUUCGUGCCAGCAGCCGCGGUAAUACGAAGGUCCCAAGCGUUGUUCGGAAUCACUGGGCGUAAAGCGUAUGUAGGCGGCGUGGAAAGUCAGGUGUGAAAGCCCGGGGCUCAACCCCGGAAUUGCACCCGAUACUCCCACGCUAGAGUAAUGGAGGGGAGUCUGGAAUUCACGGUGUAGCAGUGAAAUGCGUGGAUAUCGUGAGGAACACUAGUGGCGAAGGCGAGACUCUGGACAUUUACUGACGCUGAGAUACGAAGGCUAGGGGAGCGAAUGGGAUUAGAUACCCCAGUAGUC